rnacentral:rRNA from 1 species
AGAGUUUGAUCCUGGCUCAGAACGAACGCUGGUAGCGUGGAUUAGGCAUGCAAGUCGAACGGGAUCACGAGGAUAGCAAUAUUCUUGUGUGAGAGUGGCGGAUUGGGGAGGAACACGUGAACAACCUGCCCUUGAGUUCGGGAAAACCAUUGGAAACGAUGGCUAAUACCGGAUGUGGCGUCCGAGGACAUCCUCGGAACGCUAAAGGGGGCCGCAAGGCUCCCGCUCAUCGAGGGGUUCGCGCACCAUCAGCUUGUUGGCGGGGUAACGGCCCACCAAGGCCUACGGUUAGCCGGUCUGAGAGGAUGACCAGCCCCACUGGGACUGAGAUACUGCCCAGACUCCUACGGGAGGCUGCAGUCGAGGAUCAUUUGCAAUGGGCGAAAGCCUGACAAUGCGACGCUGCGUGGAGGAUGAAGGCCUUCGGGUUGUAAACUCCUGUCAUAGGGGAACAGGCGAUCGGACCUAAUACGUCCGUGAGUUGAGUGUACCCUAAGAGGAAUUGGCGGUUAACUCUGUGCCAGCAGCCGCGGUAAUACAGAGGCCAAGAGCGUUGUUCGGAUUUACUGGGCGUAAAGGGCGCGUAGGCGGUCUUGCGUGUCAAGUGUGAAAUCUCCGGGCUCAACCCGGAAAGUGCGCUUGAAACUACAGGACUCGAGUCCGGGAGAGGGAAUCGGAAUAUAGGGUGUAGCGGUGAAAUGCGUUGAUAUCCUAUAGAACACCGGAGGCGAAGGCGGAUUCCUUGAACGGUACUGACGCUGAGGCGCGAAAGUCGGGGGAGCAAACAGGAUUAGAUACCCUGGUAGUCCCGACCUUAAACGGUGCACACUCGGGGUGGGGCCAUUUCACCGGUCCCGUCCCUUAGCUAACGCGUUAAGUGUGCCGCCUGGGGAGUACGGCCGCAAGGCUAAAACUCAAAGAAAUUGACGGGGGCCCGCACAAGCAGAGGAGCAUGUGGCUUAAUUCGAUGCAACGCGAAGAACCUUACCUGGAUUUGACAUACAGCUGCAAGGCCUGUGAAAGCAGGCCGCCUUCGAGGGUGCUGUACAGGUGCUGCAUGGCUGUCGUCAGUUCGUGCCGUGAGGUGUUUGGUUAAGUCCACCAACGAACGCAACCCCUUUGAUGUGUUGCCAGCGGGUCAAGCCGGGAACUCGCAUCAUACUGCUCGUUUACGCGAGAGGAAGGUGGGGAUGACGUCAAGUCAUCAUGCCCCUUAUGGCUAGGGCUACACACGUGCUACAAUGGUGGUAACAGAGUGAAGCGACCCUGCGAGGGCGAGCAAACCACAAAAAUGCCAUCUCAGUUCGGAUUGUAGUCUGCAACUCGACUACAUGAAGCUGGAAUCGCUAGUAAUCGCAGAUCAGAAUGCUGCGGUGAAUACGUUCCCGGGUCUUGUACACACCGCCGGUCAAG